GAACAAUGUUAAUCUGAACUAACAAUUUUCUAGUCAACUUUCAUGUGACCAGUUAACCUGACACGCACACACACACACACACAUAUAUGUUUCUAGUGGUAUACUUAUGGGGUCCAGUUGAGCUCACACACACACAUAUGUUUCUAGUGGUAUACUUAUGGGGUCCAGUUGAGCUCACACACACACAUAUGUUUCUAGUGGUAUACUUAUGGGGUCCAGUUGAGCUCACACACACAUAUGUUUCUAGUUGUAUACUUAUGGGGUCCAGUUGAGCUCACACACAUGUAUACGUUUCUAGUCUUAUCUUGGUGGGGUCCUCCCGUAUGUAUAUCACUCUUAAGUGAUUUUACAUUAUUUCAGCAUCUUUCAAUAUUUAAACUCAAGUUGUUACAGGUAACAUUUUUCAUACACACUACCUUUUCUAACUUGUGAAUCUCUCCACAUACAUGAUUACUGUCAGUUCUUAAUGUGUUCCUGUUUUUUAUAUAAAUUCCAGGUGACAAGCCACCAGACAGAGACGCUCCCUGUUGAUCAAACAUCCCAUGAGGAUUCAGACAUCGAUGCUGCUACCACACAGGUGACAAGCCACCAGACAGAGACGCUCCCUGUUGAUCAAACAUCCCAUGAGGAUUCAGACAUCGAUGCUGCUACCACACAGGUGUGUACUGUCAAAGGUGUUUCCCUUGUGGAUUAUCUGUUAACUGAUGAAACAGAUGAGGAUUGUAUCGAAGACCAACCUCUGACUCCACACUGUGAUGACAUUUUUGGAAAGCAGAGUAGGAGUGAAAACAUUCUGAUGGAUAGAGUAUCCGAUUUUUCUGAGCCUCUGUAUGAUUCAAAUGAGACUAAAGUGGAGGAAACCGAUGAAGAGGAUUCUAUAAUAGGCCAUUCCAGUGUGCAAGCAGAUGGGGAACUUGUUCCAAAGCUGAGAAGGACGAAAAGCAUUCUGGUAAACAAACUGCUGCCAAACGAAGCUGGACACCAGAGGAAUGUGCAUGCAUGUGAAUGCAUCAUGAUGAGCCAAGUUCCAAGGAAAACAGACUGUCAGCGCUGCAUUACUGCCGAACCUCAAGCCCUUGCAAAUAGAGACUGGAAAGCAGUUAAAUUCUUCAUCAAAAAUCGAAUUACUGCCCUGAGGAGAAGAAAACUAUAGUGACAGCACUUCACUAAACGGGUAGAAACAUUAGGCUGGAGGGAGAACCCCUAAAAGUGUUUGUGCUCUUUCUCUAGUAAUUAGGGGUCCAAGCCCGAAGUGGCAUGGGAACCGCAUUUGCAAGGCAGUUUUAGUAGUUUUUGUUCUCCUUGUAUUCUUCUUGUGUUGUCCUGUUAGUUAUUUUUUGUCUUCAAUAUAAAAAGCGGAUCCAGACCAAUCCAUAAUAUUAACUUUUGAAGAAAAAGUUUAUAUAAAUGUUUUUUUUCCACUUUAAAUUUAAGUUUAAAUGGACGGAUAGUUCUUUAUACUUUAUAUUCUUAUACUAACAACUUUUACCAAGGAAAUCAUUUUUGGAUUGUAAUGAGAUCAUGACAAGUUGUGAGCAUGCUUUUUUUUUAUUAUUAUUUUUACUUAUCCCUCUUUCUACUUACUUACUUGACUUAUACUUGAUUUUCAUAUACAUGUGAGAAGUAAAUGUAGUGACUCAAAUACAUGUUAAAAAAUACAUGCUCAUUGAAGACAAAGCAUUUUGUAGUUUUUUUAUGCAAGGUUUUAUGUAAAAUAUUACUGAUAGUUACCCCUAGAAACAACAAUGUUAAUUUAAAAUGGCAUUUGGGGCUGAUUUGGAAGAGUCUCCAUAGUUUUGGAAAUGUUGAGUAGGAGCUCAUUUUUUGAAUAUCAUGUUAAUGCGCUGUCUACCUAAAGAUGAUCCUUGUCAAGAUGAGGCCAAACAUGGUAGUGACUGAGCUAACCAGGGAUUUUAAUUGGUUGGUCCUGUAGAUUCUUUGGUAAUCAAGGACAAACCAGAGAAACCAUUAAAGUCUCCAGAUAGUAACAUUGGUCCCUGCUAAUGUAUAAAAACAAGGAAUAUGUGUGAGUGGAGCUCACAAGUCCUGAAUGCUAGAAACGAGCCCCACAAGUGGCGAAAAAACUAGCAUGGAGAAAAAAGUUUUGAAUUCUGUUAAAUUGAAGUGGUAUUUGUGAUUAGGAACUGCUCUUUUUAUUGCCUGAUUUUUUACAAAGGUGUAGAACCACUGUAAAGGGUGGACCCCACAAUUGGGUAAAAAAUAUGUGGACCUCUCAAAGGAGGAAAACGAGUAUGUG
ensembl:lncRNA